UGGUAUUUUGACUAUACAAAGGUAUUGUAAUAAGGUUUUAAUUGAAUGCUAAGAGAAUGGAAAUUUAAAAAAAAACUUUUUUAAAAAUAAAAAUUAAAUUUUUUUUAAUUUGUGCAAAAACAAUUAUUGUUAUUAAAGACAAGAAGACCCUAAGAAUUUAAGAUUAAAAACUAAAAAAUUUUUUAAUUUUUAAUCUUGAUUGGGGCGAUCAAAAAAUAUUAAUAACUUUUAAAAAUUUAAAUUGAUCUAUUAUUAAUAAAUAAAUGAAUUAAAUACUCUAGGGAUAACAGCGUAAUAAUUUUUGAUAGAUCUUAUUGACAAAAUAGUUUGCGACCUCGAUGUUGGAUUAGGAUUCUUUUUU
rnacentral:rRNA from 1 species